UGACCUGGCUGGAAAUCACAAGGGUAACACAUUCACACAAAGCAGUGACAAAAAUAGGCUCUCCCAGUUCAGCCAUAAUAAACCAGACCCUGUUUAUAGAGGUGGCUUUGCAUAAUUGUGCUCUCGGUUACCAGCUGGGAAUAAAUCCGGAACCCCCAGGGACAAGCAGGAGCUGACUCUCUCAGCUUCCUCAUUUUCAGUAUGGCUCAUUAGAAACAUGUGUACAGGGAUUAUCCCUGAUUUUCACCCAGGCCCUUCAGGGUCUUAUUUCUACCAGGAAUGGUAGCUUUGGACAGGCUAUGCAUUUUGACCUCUUAAAGCUUGCUUUUGUUUUUCUGUAUUUUUCUCUGUGUAACUCCGGGUGGAGCUGUUCAGGAAUCUCCUCCUGACACCUUUCUUUCCAAGUCACACACACUCAGGAGCUGCAGACCUUGACAGUGUUGAUAAACACUGGACAAUGACCCCGCAGACUUGGGUGCAGAGGACGAUCCUGCAGAACUCAAAAAUGUCACCUUUUGCUCAAGCCCAAGGUGUUUAGCUGUGUCUAACUAAGGAGCCUACUCAGCCAGCACCCUCCUUUGUUGACAGACAAAUUAUCUCCAGGCAGCAUCUCAGGUCUUUGGCACCUUUGGAGGAAUAGUUAAUGUCCAUUAGCAAGAGAUCAGACAGUUUCCUUUCAUUCACCUUCCAUGAAGACAGAUGUUAUGGCUUCCAUUGCCCUCUCAGUGUGUUAGAUAUGAGCAUCCACGGUAAAUAAAAAAACAAAUUGGGAAAUUUUU